UACGUAGGGACCAAGCGUUGUUCGGAUUUACUGGGCGUAAAGGGCGCGUAGGCGGCGUGACAAGUCACUUGUGAAAUCUCUGGGCUUAACCCAGAACGGCCAAGUGAAACUGUUGUGCUAGAGUGCAGAAGGGGCAACUGGAAUUCUCGGUGUAGCGGUGAAAUGCGUAGAUAUCGUAAGGAAGACCAGUGGCGAAGGCGGGUCUCUGGACAGUUCCUGACGCUGAGGCACGAAGGUCAGGGGAGCAAACGGG
rnacentral:rRNA from 1 species